CUGGGCCCCAAAGUGAGAAAUGGGCUCAGGGACUCCUCAGGGUGAAUGCUGCUUUAAAGACAGAAUGCGGGCAUCUUUUCCCUCAUUUGAGACCUAAAAUAACCCUGAGAGGUAUUAUUAUUGCCCCCAUUUCACAGAUGAAUAAAGUAUGGCUCAGAGUAAACCACUAUGGCACUUAAGUGGUUUACUCAAGUCACACGGAGAGUAAAUGCUGGAGCCCGAAUUCAAACACAGAUGGUUUCAAUCCAAAUCUCAACCUCUUUCCACCGGUUCUCCUGACUUCGUGCAGAUUUCAUGGAAAUGAGAAUGAAAGUUGGACCUUGCAACUCAAAGAUCAGUAUAUGGAAUGGAAGAUAAUUACAGGGGGAAGGGAGAGGAACCGACAUCGCCUGGGCCUUCUGCACAUCAGGCACUGUGUACUGAGUUAAGGUGCUCAAUCUUCCCAACAGUGCUGGGUGGGAGGAAUCGUGAUUCCUAUUUCAUGGAUGCACAAAUCCAGUCUCCAGGAAGUUAAGAAAUGAAUGUGCUGAGGGCACAGAGUGAAUGAAUGCAGGACUGUCAUACCCUUCCAGCCUUCCACACAGCCACCCUACCAGCAAAUCAACAAGUGCAUGCAAUGAGGUGCUUGAACAAAAUGUUCUCGAGAGAAGCUUGGCUGCUACAAUCUUGGAAGACAGGCACUGUGAGCAGUAGUCACUAAUCCCUUCGUCAAGCCUGUUUUUCAGGUGGGAAAUCUGCAAAAAGGCAAGUGAUAUACCCAAGGUCUCUCUACAUUUCCUUAGUAGAGAAGGCAGAAUUCACGCAGUGGUCCCUUUUCUUUCAUUCCAUGCUCUUUACACGUAAUACAGAUUGAGCAUCUCAGAUUCAAAAAUCCAAAAUCCGAAAUGCUCCAAACUUCAAAAGUGUCUGAGCCCUGACACAAGGGGAAAAUUCCACAUCUGACCUCAUAUGACAGGUCAUGGUCAAAACUUUGUUUCAUAUACAAAAUUAUUUAAUAUAUUUUAUAAGAUUACCUUUGGGCUAUGUGUAUAAGAUGUAUAUGAAACAUAAAUGAAUUUCGUGUUUAGACUUGGGUCCCAUUCUCAAGAUAUCUCACUAGGUACAUGCAAAUGUUCUAAAAUUCAAAAACAGUCUAAAAUCUGAAACACUUCUGGUCCCAGGCAUUUCAGUGAAGGGAUACUCAAUCUGUACCGUGUUUCUGUCAAUAUCAUUUAAAUUCAUUACAGUCAGGUGGAUUAAAGAAUAACAAGACUAUGGCUGAAAAUGAGGGGUAUCUAUCCUAUGAAUCCAGCACCAGCAGAGGAAAAGGAAGAUGUUUGCAGAUCUUCACUUAACACUGAAGAUUUAGUAUCAGUUUCUCACGGAUCAAAACAUCAGUUCCUUCUUUUGUAACCAACAGUCCUGUUGAACACUGGCUGAGUCCCCACCUGCAGCCGCUAAAAUUCUCUUAGGGCUUUAUACAUUUCUUUAUGUCACAUCGUGGGGUGUAAUGCUCUAGUCUUCUGUUUUUUUAGUGUCUGUGUUUGAGCAACAUGCAAGAGGAAGCUGACGGGGUACUUAGCCAAAGACAUGACACUUUUCCAGGUCCAAGUUGUUCCAGGCUCAGCCAAGCCUGGACAUCAGAGGAUGACCGGAAAUGGGACCAGAGCAUUUAUGUUGUCCAGUGGUUGCACUCUAUCUUGUCGUGUUCAGUGAAAGGACAGUGAUGUGUGGGAAUGUGGGGCACCGCCUGGCAGUCCUGGCAUCCAUGCCUGGGGCAUUUCUGCCCCAGUCAGGCCCCAGUUGGUUGCCUCUGACAGCCAGAAUACAACUUGCAAGAUUUGAGGUGAUCCAGGUUUCUGUGUGAUGCCCUUCCCUGUAAACCUUCUCAGAUCCCCCUGGGGUCUCCAGAAUUGCUACCUGGCCACACUCCAGUGUUUUGUGGCCUGGUCCUCUUGGGCUGUGUGAAUACCAAAUGUGAUGAUUAACAGCAAGAGCUCUGGAUUCUGGAAAACCAGGUUUGAUUCUUAGCCACUUAAUUGCCUUGUGAUCUUGGACAAGACACUUAACAUUUCUGAAUUUUAGCGUUCUCAUCUGUAAAAUGGAGAUAAUGAGACUACUUAUCUGGCAAGGAUUAUGUGAGAUCACAUAUAUAAAGUACUCAGUGCCUGGCACAUAGUAAGUGCUGAAUAAAUGCUAGAUUAUCAUUUUUGUAAGCUGUUUAUUUUGAAUAUAUGGCUUAAAGAAUAUUA
rnacentral:lncRNA from 1 species